GGGCGCUUAGCUCAGCGGUAGAGCACUUCCUUGACAUGGAAGGGGUCACAAGUUCGAUCCUUGUAGCGCCCACCA
rnacentral:tRNA from 3 species